UACAGAGGGUGCAAGCGUUAAUCGGAAUUACUGGGCGUAAAGCGUGCGUAGACGGUUACAUAAGUCGGGUGUGAAAGCCCCGGGCUCAACCUGGGAAUUGCAUUCGAGACUGCGUAGCUAGGGUGCGGAAGAGGGAAGCGGAAUUCCGGUGUAACGGUGAAAUGCGUAGAUAUCGGAAGGAACACCAGUGGCGAAAGCGGCUUCCUGGUCCAGCACCGACGUUCAGGCACGAAAGCGUGGGAGCA
rnacentral:rRNA from 1 species